UUGCAGCCAACUAAGCUGACCAAGUCCCUUUCCCGAUGGGGACUUGGUAUGCAAUAAUUGCAAAUUACAGCUUCUUUGGCAGUGUAUGCAGCUUGUUGCCUAUAUAGGCUGUUCUUAGGGACCUUGGAGACAAUU